rnacentral:rRNA from 1 species
UGGGAACUUUAAGGAUACUGCCAGUGACAAACUGGAGGAAGGCGGGGACGACGUCAAGUCAUCAUGGCCCUUACGGCCAGGGCUACACACGUGCUACAAUGGUCGGUACAAAGGGUUGCUACACAGCGAUGUGAUGCUAAUCUCAAAAAGCCGAUCGUAGUCCGGAUUGGAGUCUGCAACUCGACUCCAUGAAGUCGGAAUCGCUAGUAAUCGCGGAUCAGAAUGCCGCGGUGAAUACGUUCCCGGGCCUUGUACACACCGCCCGUCACACCAUGGGAGUUUGUUGCACCAGAAGUAGCUAGCCUAACUGCAAAGAGGGCGGUUACCACGGUGUGGCCGAUGACUGGGGUG